CCUACGGGGGGUAGCAGUGGGGAAUAUUGGACAAUGGGCGAAAGCCUGAUCCAGCCAUGCCGCGUGUGUGAAGAAGGCCUUCGGGUUGUAAAGCACUUUCAGUGGGGAAGAAAGCCUUGGGGCUAAUACCCUCGAGGAAGGACAUCACCCACAGAAGAAGCACCGGCUAACUCCGUGCCAGCAGCCGCGGUAAUACGGAGGGUGCGAGCGUUAAUCGGAAUUACUGGGCGUAAAGCGCGCGUAGGCGGUCUGAUAAGCCGGUUGUGAAAGCCCCGGGCUCAACCUGGGAACGGCAUCCGGAACUGUCAGGCUAGAGUGCAGGAGAGGAAGGUAGAAUUCCCGGUGUAGCGGUGAAAUGCGUAGAGAUCGGGAGGAAUACCAGUGGCGAAGGCGGCCUUCUGGACUGACACUGACGCUGAGGUGCGAAAGCGUGGGUAGCAAACAGGAUUAGAUACCCGUGUAGUC
rnacentral:rRNA from 1 species